CCUAACUGUCCAAUAGGACAGUUAGUUGCACAGUGGGAUCAAAUAGCAGUGUCGUGUCGAGUAUUUCGCUGCACCGAUGCUUUCAUUUCUCCCAUACCCUACCCUUCACUUUUCAAAAUACUCACUUGUGCCACUGAAAUGCUCAAAAUAUAGACUUUCCUCCGCUUGAAAUCAAUAAUUAUGAUUUCCGUUUAAGUAAGUUUAGGAGUGUUCUUCGAGCACCGCAACAAUUGCAGUUAAGAGCCGAUAAAAAAUUAUUAACAACAAAAUCAAUUUCACAGUAUUGUAGAUAAGAAAAUCAAUUAAUUGACAAAUACAAAUAAAAAGGUCUCGUUAAAUUGAAUCGGUUGCUUAAUGAGAAGAUCGUUAACUUUAAAUAAAAGAAUUUAUACUCGGAUAAAAGAGGUAAUAAAGAAAACAAAAAUGUGCGAAAUAUAAUAAACCGCGUGUUCUUUCGCCGGGCACCAUACAAAUUCAAUUAAAACACAGAGGGACAAACAAAUAUUCGCUUGCGAUCACUUGGACAUCUGAGGCGACUGGAAAUGGUUUGGCGCGGCUUUAUCGCCAUCAUCGAUUUGCUGAUGAGUGGAGUGGCUGAGCGGCGUCACGUGUGGAGAACGAGAGAGAGGUGCCUGGAGGCUGGAAGGUGUCAAGCCGCUUAGAGUUGCCAGACGGGGCAGGGAGCGUCCCCUGGCGCUGGUGGAAAACCUUGAACUGAUGCACUAGCCUGACUCUUUUCGGCGUGGUCAGUGACGGUAAAGGGAAGCUGUACAAGAAACAUAUUUAUAACACGGUCGCAACGCAUUCGAUUUGCAUUAAUGGUGGGUUCCAACCGCAGCCGCAGCCGUCCGGUGGUAUGUACAUACAUACAUACAUACAUAUGAUACAGAAUAGCACGGAAGACUAUAGUAAUGUUCGGGAUUUGCUUAAAUUUGAAUAAAUACAGUAACCUAUAAAUUAAUAAUAAUAAAAAGGUAAAUGUGUCCAAAUGAAAGUUGAAUACAUGCUAAUGGAUUACCUAACCCAUAAUUAAACGCAAUCAAAUCUGA